rnacentral:rRNA from 1 species
UACGUAGGGUGCGAGCGUUAAUCGGAAUUACUGGGCGUAAAGGGUGCGCAGGCGGUUUUGUAAGCCAGAUGUGAAAGCCCCGGGCUCAACCUGGGAAUGGCAUUUGGGACUGCAAGGCUAGAGUGUGGCAGAGGAGACUGGAAUUCCUGGUGUAGCAGUGAAAUGCGUAGAUAUCAGGAGGAAUACCGAUGGCGAAGGCAGGUCUCUGGGCUGACACUGACGCUCAUGCACGAAAGCGUGGGGAGCAAACAGG